CUUUGGGUUCCCCACUGGCGGCUGAGGGGCCAAAACCGGGUCUGUAGAUAUUCCCGAAUUCCUUUUCUGCAUGUGGGCCUGCCAUUGUCGCUUCCCCACUUUAUGGAAUCGUUUGAGCAUCAGAGUGGGGCUGGUGCUCAGAGAAGCAGGGGAUAAAACACAUUAACAUCUUCAUUUUUAUUUAUGAAGAGUUCACAGUAAAAUAAACCUCUUUGUAUGGAGAUGGAAUCCAGACUAGGCCUUGCUCUUCCCAGCAAAGAAUCCAGAACGGAAGCUUCAUUCUCUUAGAGCCUGCUGCCUUUUCUGCCUUUCUUUAAUUCUUGUAUUUGGUGCUGGACGCUGUCCCAGGGAACACAGCUCCGAGGGCUUCAGGAAAGUCUGGUCCUGGCUAGAGAUCUCUGCUUUCCUUCUUCUCUGGGUACUGGGAAGCCAUCCCCAAUGGCAAUAUCCCAAUUCCAGGAUUGUGAUGGACACCAGCAGGCCUUCAACUGCCUCCAAAACUGAGAUGAUACCAAUGUCCUAUGAUUGGAUCUCAGGAAGCGUCUUUGACAUCAUCAGUAACUUCCCAGUGUGGGAACUCCUUCUGCUGACACUUAUCUGAGAUAAGUGCUGUGUAGCCACCUGAGACACCGAGAAGAAAGUGAUGCUCCUAGAGUGUGGUAGGAUGUGUAAAAGGCAGAAUUUGUACUCAGGUCUUCCUGAUUCCAAGACCUGCCCUCUGUCCAUUACACCAGGGAUCUCAUUCUUUUCUGGAUCCUUCUGAUGGUCUGGUGAAGCCUGUGUUCCUCUUUCUCUGGAUAAUAUUAUUAAGUAUCUGAAAUAAAACACAGAGUUACAAAAG
rnacentral:lncRNA from 1 species